rnacentral:sRNA from 1 species
UUGACAGUAUUCUUAUAAAAGCCUAUAAUAAAUUUGCUAAAAGAUUUACUGGUUAAUAUUUCACUAACUAUUAUAGAUCAUGAAAUGAAUGCCUUUAUAAUCUAUAAUAGUUAGUGAAAUUUUUUUUGACCAGUAUCAGGUAAUUUAAGUAGGAGGUACCAGCUAUGAACAAGGGUACAGUAAAAUGGUUUAAUGCAGAGAAAGGCUAUGGAUUCAUCACAGGAGAAGACGGGGCAGACGUAUUUGUACAUUUUUCAGCGAUCCAGGGUGAAGGCUUCAAGACUCUUGAAGAAGGCCAGGCUGUUUCUUACGACCUGACAGAAGGCGCCCGCGGAAUGCAGGCUUCUAAUGUUGUAAAGCUUUAAUCCAG